rnacentral:rRNA from 1 species
UACGGAGGAUCCAAGCGUUAUCCGGAUUUAUUGGGUUUAAAGGGUGCGUAGGCGGCAGAUUAAGUUAGAGGUGAAAUUCCGAGGCUCAACCUUGGCACUGCCUCUGAUACUGGUUUGCUAGCGAGUAGAUGCUGUAGGUGGAAUUCUUGGUGUAGGGGUAAAAUCCGUAGAGAUCAAGAGGAAUACUCAUUGCGAAGGCGACCUGCUAGAACAUAACUGACGCUGAUGCGCGAAAGCGUGGGGAGCAAACAGG